AUUGAACGCUGGCGGCAGGCUUAACACAUGCAAGUCGAGCGGGGGAAGGUAGCUUGCUACCGGACCUAGCGGCGGACGGGUGAGUAAUGCUUAGGAAUCUGCCUAUUAGUGGGGGACAACAUCUCGAAAGGGAUGCUAAUACCGCAUACGUCCUACGGGAGAAAGCAGGGGAUCUUCGGACCUUGCGCUAAUAGAUGAGCCUAAGUCGGAUUAGCUAGUUGGUGGGGUAAAGGCCUACCAAGGCGACGAUCUGUAGCGGGUCUGAGAGGAUGAUCCGCCACACUGGGACUGAGACACGGCCCAGACUCCUACGGGAGGCAGCAGUGGGGAAUAUUGGACAAUGGGGGGAACCCUGAUCCAGCCAUGUCGCGUGUGUGAAGAAGGCCUUAUGGUUGUAAAGCACUUUAAGCGAGGAGGAGGCUACUCUAGUUAAUACCUAGGGAUAGUGGACGUUACUCGCGGAAUAAGCACCGGCUAACUCUGUGCCAGCAGCCGCCGUAA
rnacentral:rRNA from 1 species